AAUCAACGCUGGCGGCGUGCCUAACACAUGCAAGUCGAACGAGAAAGCGGGGGCAACUCCGUGAGUAAAGUGGCAGACGGGUGAGUAACACGUGAACAACCUACCCUUGAGUGGGGAAUAACACCGCGAAAGCGGUGCUAAUACCGCAUAACAUCUCCGGGUUGCAUGAUCUGGAGAUCAAAAGCGCAAGUUGCUUGAGGAGGGGUUCGCGCCUGAUUAGCUAGUUGGUGAGGUAACGGCCCACCAAGGCAACGAUCAGUAGCCGGCCUGAGAGGGCGAACGGCCACACUGGAACUGAGAUACGGUCCAGACUCCUACGGGAGGCAGCAGUGGGGAAUUUCGCGCAAUGGGCGAAAGCCUGACGCAGCAACGCCGCGUGGAGGAUGAAGGCCUUCGGGUCGUAAACUCCUGUCAGUAGGGACGAAUGCUCCGCAAGGGGCUUGACUGUACCUGCUGAGGAAGCCACGGCUAACUCCGUGCCAGC
rnacentral:rRNA from 1 species